rfam:Gossypium hirsutum cultivar TM-1 chromosome 7, whole genome shotgun sequence
AAUCUGUGUUGUGGGCACUUUUAAAUUAACAUCUUAAAACACUUCUAAGCUUCUUGAAAGCUUUCCCCCUCUAACUGUUUAAACAUUGAAAUUUCCCUUCUUAGUUU